UGGGGAAUAUUGGACAAUGGGCGGAAGCCUGAUCCAGCCAUGCCGCGUGUGUGAAGAAGGCCUUUUGGUUGUAAAGCACUUUAAGCGAGGAGGAGGCUACUUGGAUUAAUACUCUAGGAUAGUGGACGUUACUUGCAGAAUAAGCACCGGCUAACUCUGUGCCAGCAGCCGCGGUAAUACAGAGGGUGCGAGCGUUAAUCGGAUUUACUGGGCGUAAAGCGUGCGUAGGCGGCUUCUUAAGUCGGAUGUGAAAUCCCUGAGCUUAACUUAGGAAUUGCAUUCGAUACUGGGAAGCUAGAGUAUGGGAGAGGAUGGUAGAAUUCCAGGUGUAGCGGUGAAAUGCGUAGAGAUCUGGAGGAAUACCGAUGGCGAAGGCAGCCAUCUGGCCUAAUACUGACGCUGAGGUACGAAAGCAUGGGGAGCAAACAGG
rnacentral:rRNA from 1 species